rnacentral:ncRNA from 1 species
AAAGAAUCUAACAUGUGUGCUAGUCAGGGGCCCGUUCCGAAAACCAGCGGUGCAAUGAAGGUAAGGGCCAGCGCGCACCAGCUGAGGUGGGAUCCCAGGGGGUGGUCGAGCGAGAAGCCCUGGGCACACCACCAGCCAUCUUGCCCGUGCCGCCUGGCCGGGGAGGUGGAGCGUGAGUGUCCUUGCUAGGACCCGAAAGAUGGUGAACUGUGCCUGGGCAGGGCGAAGCCAGAGGAAAUUCUGGUGGAGGUCUGUAGCGGUCCUGACGUGCAAAUCUGUCAUCCGACCCAGGUCUAGGGGCAAAAGACUAAUCGAACCAUCUGGUAGCUGCUUCUCUCCGAAGUUUCCCUCAGGAUAGUUGGCACUCGGCUGUGGACAGUUUUACCUGGUAAAGCAAAUGAUUAGAGGUCUUGGGGCCGAAACGAUCUCAACCUAGUAUCAGCUUCUAAUUAUAUAAGAUUAUGGUAAACAAUAAAAUAUGUCAAAUAUAUUUACGUGAUUUACUACAUAUUAUUAGUCAGUUUACAUUAAAUGCAAUUAAAAGGUUUAAAAAUAUAGCAAAAUUAGGAGUAUGUUAACAAAAAGAAGUUUGAUAUUGCUUUUCAUGCAAACAUGACUUUGUUUAGAACUU